GCKAGUUGGUGAGGUAAAGGCUUACCAAGGCUUCGAUCAGUAGCUGGUCUGAGAGGACGACCAGCCACACUGGGACUGAGACACGGRCCAGACUCCUACGGGAGGCAGCAGUGGGGAAUUUUGGACAAUGGGGGAAACCCUGAUCCAGCCAUGCCGCGUGAGUGAAGAAGGCCUUCGGGUUGUAAAGCUCUUUCAGCCGGAACGAAACGGUCACGGCUAAUACCCGUGAUCACUGACGGUACCGGAAGAAGAAGCACCGGCUAACUACGUGCCAGCAGCCGUGGUAAUAC
rnacentral:rRNA from 1 species